CCUACGGGUGGCAGCAGUAGGGAAUCUUCCACAAUGGACGAAAGUCUGAUGGAGCAACGCCGCGUGAACGAUGAAGGCUUUCGGGUCGUAAAGUUCUGUUGUAAGGGAAGAACAAGUGCCGCAGGCAAUGGCGGCACCUUGACGGUACCUUGCGAGAAAGCCACGGCUAACUACGUGCCAGCAGCCGCGGUAAUACGUAGGUGGCAAGCGUUGUCCGGAAUUAUUGGGCGUAAAGCGCGCGCAGGCGGCCUCUUAAGUCUGAUGUGAAAGCCCCCGGCUCAACCGGGGAGGGCCAUUGGAAACUGGGAGGCUUGAGUAUAGGAGAGAAGAGUGGAAUUCCACGUGUAGCGGUGAAAUGCGUAGAGAUGUGGAGGAACACCAGUGGCGAAGGCGACUCUUUGGCCUAUAACUGACGCUGAGGCGCGAAAGCGUGGGGAGCAAACAGGAUUAGAUACCCCAGUAGUC
rnacentral:rRNA from 1 species